rnacentral:rRNA from 1 species
AAUCCAUAGGUUAAUGAGGCGAACCGGGGGAACUGAAACAUCUAAGUACCCCGAGGAAAAGAAAUCAACCGAGAUUCCCCCAGUAGCGGCGAGCGAACGGGGAGGAGCCCAGAGCCUGAAUCAGCAUGUGUGUUAGUGGAAGCGUCUGGAAAGGCGCGCGAUACAGGGUGACAGCCCCGUACACAAAAGCGCAUGUGCUGUGAGCUCGAUGAGUAGGGCGGGACACGUGGUAUCCUGUCUGAAUAUGGGGGGACCAUCCUCCAAGGCUAAAUACUCCUGACUGACCGAUAGUGAACCAGUACCGUGAGGGAAAGGCGAAAAGAACCCCGGCGAGGGGAGUGAAAAAGAACCUGAAACCGUGUACGUACAAGCAGUGGGAGCACCCUUUGGGUGUGACUGCGUACCUUUUGUAUAAUGGGUCAGCGACUUAUAUUCUGUAGCAAGGUUAACCGAAUAGGGGAGCCGGAGGGAAACCGAGUCUUAAUUGGGCGUUAAGUUGCAGGGUAUAGACCCGAAACCCGGUGAUCUAGCCAUGGGCAGGUUGAAGGUUGGGUAACACUAACUGGAGGACCGAACCGACUAAUGUUGAAAAAUUAGCGGAUGACCUGUGGCUGGGGGUGAAAGGCCAAUCAAACCGGGAGAUAGCUGGUUCUCCCCGAAAGCUAUUUAGGUAGCGCCUCGUGAAUUCAUCUCCGGGGGUAGAGCACUGUUUCGGCUAGGGGGCUAUCCCGGCUUACCAACCCGAUGCAAACUGCGAAUACCGGAGAAUGUUAUCACGGGAGACACACGGCGGGUGCUAACGUCCGUCGUGAAGAGGGAAACAACCCAGACCGCCAGCUAAGGUCCCAAAGUCAUGGUUAAGUGGGAAACGAUGUGGGAAGGCCCAGACAGCCAGGAUGUUGGCUUAGAAGCAGCCAUCAUUUAAAGAAAGCGUAAUAGCUCACUGGUCGAGUCGGCCUGCGCGGAAGAUGUAACGGGGCUAAACCAUGCACCGAAGCUGCGGCAGCGACGCUUAUGCGUUGUUGGGUAGGGGAGCGUUCUGUAAGCCUGCGAAGGUGGCCUGUGAGGGUUGCUGGAGGUAUCAGAAGUGCGAAUGCUGACAUAAGUAACGAUAAAGCGGGUGAAAAGCCCGCUCGCCGGAAGACCAAGGGUUCCUGUCCAACGUUAAUCGGGGCAGGGUGAGUCGACCCCUAAGGCGAGGCCGAAAGGCGUAGUCGAUGGGAAACGGGUUAAUAUUCCCGUACUUGGUGUUACUGCGAAGGGGGGACGGAGAAGGCUAUGUUGGCCGGGCGACGGUUGUCCCGGUUUAAGCGUGUAGGCUGGUUUUCCAGGCAAAUCCGGAAAAUCAAGGCUGAGGCGUGAUGACGAGGCACUACGGUGCUGAAGCAACAAAUGCCCUGCUUCCAGGAAAAGCCUCUAAGCAUCAGGUAACAUCAAAUCGUACCCCAAACCGACACAGGUGGUCAGGUAGAGAAUACCAAGGCGCUUGAGAGAACUCGGGUGAAGGAACUAGGCAAAAUGGUGCCGUAACUUCGGGAGAAGGCACGCUGACACGUAGGUGAAGUGAUUUACUCACGGAGCUGAAGUCAGUCGAAGAUACCAGCUGGCUGCAACUGUUUAUUAAAAACACAGCACUGUGCAAACACGAAAGUGGACGUAUACGGUGUGACGCCUGCCCGGUGCCGGAAGGUUAAUUGAUGGGGUCAGCGCAAGCGAAGCUCCUGAUCGAAGCCCCGGUAAACGGCGGCCGUAACUAUAACGGUCCUAAGGUAGCGAAAUUCCUUGUCGGGUAAGUUCCGACCUGCACGAAUGGCGUAAUGAUGGCCAGGCUGUCUCCACCCGAGACUCAGUGAAAUUGAACUCGCUGUGAAGAUGCAGUGUACCCGCGGCAAGACGGAAAGACCCCGUGAACCUUUACUAUAGCUUGACACUGAACAUUGAGCCUUGAUGUGUAG